GAACCGCAUGGUUCAAAAGUGAAAGACGGUCUUGCUGUCACUUAUAGAUGGAUCCGCGCUGCAUUAGCUAGUUGGUAAGGUAACGGCUUACCAAGGCAACGAUGCAUAGCCGAACUGAGAGGGUGAUCGGCCACACUGGAACUGAGACACGGUCCAGACUCCUACGGGAGGCAGCAGUAGGGAAUCUUCCGCAAUGGGCGAAAGCCUGACGGAGCAACGCCGCGUGAGUGAUGAAGGUCUU
rnacentral:rRNA from 1 species